AACGAACGCUGGCGGCAGGCCUAACACAUGCAAGUCGAGCGGACCCUUCGGGGUUAGCGGCGGACGGGUGAGUAACGCGUGGGAAUAUGCCCUUCUCUACGGAAUAGUCCUGGGAAACUGGGGGUAAUACCGUAUACGCCCUUUGGGGGAAAGAUUUAUCGGGGAAGGAUUAGCCCGCGUUGGAUUAGGUAGUUGGUGGGGUAAUGGCCUACCAAGCCGACGAUCCAUAGCUGGUUUGAGAGGAUGAUCAGCCACACUGGGACUGAGACACGGCCCAGACUCCUACGGGAGGCAGCAGUGGGGAAUCUUAGACAGUGGGGCAACCCUGAUCUAGCCAUGCCGCGUGAGUGAUGAAGGCCUUAGGGUUGUAAAGCUCUUUCAGCUGGGAAGAUAAUGACGGUACCAGCAGAAGAAGCCCCGGCUAACUCCGUG
rnacentral:rRNA from 1 species